GAAGUGGUGGGAGAAAGAGUGAAACAGACUGCCAGAGGAAGAGGAAGAGAGAGGGAAGUGGUGGGAGAAAGAGUGAAACACAGACUGCCAGAGGAAGAGGAAGAGAGAGGGAAGUGGUGGGAGAAAGAGUGAAACACAGACUGCCAGAGGAAGAGGAAGAGAGAGGGAAGUGGUGGGAGAAAGAGUGAAACACAGACUGCCAGAGGAAGAGGAAGAGAGAGGGAAGUGGUGAAACACAGACUGCCAGAGGAAGAGAGUGAAAAAGACUGCCAGAGGAAGAGGAAGAGAAACAGACUGCCAGAGGAAGAGAGUGAAACAGACUGCCAGAGGAAGAGGAAGAGAGAGGGAAGUGGUGAGAGAAAGAGUGAAACAGACUGCCAGAGGAAGAGAGUGAAACAGACUGCCAGAGGAAGAGAGUGAAACAGACUGCCAGAGGAAGAGU
ensembl:lncRNA